rnacentral:misc_RNA from 1 species
UCCGGUUUGUCACCGGCAGUCCCAUUAGAGUGCCCAACUGAAUGUAGCAACUAAUGGCAAGGGUUGCGCUCGUUGCGGGACUUAACCCAACAUCUCACGACACGAGCUGACGACAACCAUGCACCACCUGUCACUCUGUCCCCCGAAGGGGAACCUCCUGUCUCCAAGAGUAGCAGAGGAUGUCAAGACCUGGUGAGGUUCUUCGCGUUGCUUCGAAUUAAACCACAUGCUCCACCGCUUGUGCGGGCCCCCGUCAAUUCCUUUGAGUUUCAGCCUUGCGGCCGUACUCCCCAGGCGGAGUGCUUAAUGCGUUAGCUGCAGCACUAAAGGGCGGAAACCCUCUAACACUUAGCACUCAUCGUUUACGGCGUGGACUAC